AACGAACGCUGGCGGCAUGCCUAACACAUGCAACUCGAACGCUUCUCUUCGGAGAGGAGUGGCGCACGGGUGAGUAACGCGUGGGAACCUGCCCCGGAGUGGGGGAUAACCCGGCGAAAGCCGGGCUAAUAUCGCAUACGGCCUAUGGGCGAAAGAUUUAUCGCUCUGGGAGGGGCCCGCGUCCGAUUAGCUAGUUGGUGGGGUAACGGCCCACCAAGGCGACGAUCGGUAGCUGGUCUGAGAGGAUGAUCAGCCACACUGGGACUGAGACACGGCCCAGACUCCUACGGGAGGCAGCAGUGGGGAAUAUUGGACAAUGGGGGCAACCCUGAUCCAGCAAUGCCGCGUGAGUGAUGAAGGCCUUAGGGUUGUAAAGCUCUUUCGCACGCGACGAUGAUGACGGUAGCGUGAGAAGAAGCCCCGGCUAACUUCGUGCCAGCCGCCGCGGUAA
rnacentral:rRNA from 1 species